rnacentral:misc_RNA from 1 species
CGACACUGUUCAAGAUUUCGAGUUCGAAGACAUCAACGACAACCAUGUUGGCAUUGACAUCAACAGCUUGAAAUCUAACGCAUCUGCACCUGCAGCAUAUUACAGUGACGAUUUUUCAAAGCAGGAUCUUAACCUUAAGGGUGGAUACGCAAUCCAGGUUUGGAUUGAUUAUGAUUCAGUACAAAAUCUUCUCAAUGUGACUCUUUCGCCCACUUCCAAGAAAGCCAGAUUGCCAAUCUUGUCAUUUCCUAUUGAUCUCUCACCGAUAUUUAAAGAGCAUAUGUACGUUGGCUUUUCUUCUUCAACAGGUUUACUUGCUAGCUCACAUUAUAUCUUGGGCUGGAGCUUCAAGAUGAAUGGGCAAGCUAGAGCUUUGGAUCUUUCUUCUCUGCCUUCCCUUCCUGCUAGUCCCAAAGAGAAGCACAUGGGUUUAACAAUAGGUGUCUCAUCAGUUUUCUUGCAAUUAUCGUAAUAUCAUUAGCUAUCUUCUACGUGAUUAAAAAAAUUAAGAACGCUGAUAUAAUAGAAGAUUGGGAGCUGGAAAUUGGGCCUCAUCGAUACUCUUAUCAAGAACUCAAGCAAGCAACCAAUCGUUUCGGCGAUAAAGAGUUGCUUGGACAUGGUGGUUUUGGCCAUGUUUAUAAAGGUACACUACCCGAUUCAAAGAUUCAAGUAGCAGUCAAGCGAAUUUCAAGAGAAUCUAAACAAGGCCUCCGAGAAUUCAUAUCAGAAAUCGCUAGUGUUGGUCGGCUUCGUCACCGAAAUCUGGUUCAAUUGUUGGGUUGGUGUCGGCGAAGAGAUGAUUUUCUUCUUGUUUAUGAUUAUAUGGCUAAUGGGAGUUUAGACAAGUUCUUGUUUGAUGAACCAAAAUUUAUUUUAAAUUGGGAACAGAGGUUCAAGAUUAUAAAGGAUGUUGCUUCUGGGCUUAUUUAUUUGCACGAAGGCUAUGAGCAGGUAGUGAUUCACAGAGAUGUUAAGGCCAGCAAUGUUCUGCUGGACAGUGAACUAAAUGGCAAACUUGGCGACUUUGGACUAGCAAGAUUAUACGAACACGGUUCGAAUCCUGGCACAACCAGGGUUGUGGGCACUUUGGGUUAUCUAGCACCAGAAUUGCCAAGAACAGGAAAGGCUACAGCAAGCUCAGAUGUGUAUGCAUUUGGUGCACUUUUGCUUGAGGUUGCUUGCGGGCGCAGGCCUAUCGAACCCAAGGCAUUGCCUGAAGAGAUGGUGCUGGUGGAUUUGGUGUGGGAAAGGUUCAGAGAAGGGAAAGUCCUUGAUGUGGUGGACCCUAGGCUAAAUGGGCAGUAUAAUGAAAGCGAAAUGGUGAUGGUACUAAAACUGGGACUUAUGUGCUCAAAUAAUGUGUCAAUAGCACGACCAACAAUGAGGCAACUGAUAUUGUUUUUGGAUGGAGAGUGUCAAUUGCCUGAAAGUUUGAGGACUCUGCACGGGGCAGCAUGUGCUGAUGUAGAGAAAGACAUCAUCGAUGCGUUUGAUGAUUUUGGGGUAAAUUACUCGUUAGUCCUCAGCUCAGAUGUUUCUACCACGACCAUC